CCUUCGAUAGCUCAGUUGGUAGAGCGGUGGACUGUAGUUGGUUACAUGGAGAGACAUCCAUAGGUCGCUGGUUCAAAUCCGGCUCGAAGGA
rnacentral:tRNA from 1 species